rnacentral:rRNA from 1 species
CAGCCGUAAACUAUGCUCGCUAGGUGUCAGGCAUGGCGCGACCGUGUCUGGUGCCGCAGGGAAGCCGUGAAGCGAGCCACCUGGGAAGUACGGCCGCAAGGCUGAAACUUAAAGGAAUUGGCGGGGGAGCACAACAACGGGUGGAGCCUGCGGUUUAAUUGGACUCAACGCCGGACAACUCACCGGGGACGGCAGCAAUAUGUAGGCCAGGCUGAAGACCUUGCCUGAAUCGCUGAGAGGAGGUGCAUGGCGUAGACGUCU